UGGAAAGUAUUUUCUGUUAACCAAUAAGUAAGUUUCUAUAAGCAUAUAGACCAACAAAUGUAAAAAAAAACACCCAAAAAAAAAAAAUAUUGCUGAAGGUUUUAAAGG